AGUUUGAUUAUGGCUCAGGAUGAACGCUAGCUACAGGCUUAACACAUGCAAGUCGAGGGGCAGCAUUGGAGUAGCAAUACUCAGAUGGCGACCGGCGCACGGGUGAGUAACACGUAUCCAACCUGCCGCUUACUCGGGGAUAGCCUUUCGAAAGAAAGAUUAAUACCCGAUGGUAUAAAGAGUUCGCAUGUUCUCUUUAUUAAAGAAUUUCGGUAAGCGAUGGGAUGCGUUCCAUUAGAUAGUUGGCGGGGUAACGGCCCACCAAGUCUACGAUGGAUAGGGGUUCUGAGAGGAAGGUCCCCCACAUUGGAACUGAGACACGGUCCAAACUCCUACGGGAGGCAGCAGUGAGGAAUAUUGGUCAAUGGACGAGAGUCUGAACCAGCCAAGUAGCGUGAAGGAUGACUGCCCUAUGGGUUGUAAACUUCUUUUAUAAGGGAAUAAAGUGAGGGACGUGUCCUUUUUGUAUGUACCUUAUGAAUAAGGAUCGGCUAACUCCGUGCCAGCAGCAGC
rnacentral:rRNA from 1 species